AACUCUCCAAACUGACGUGCUGGAAAAGAUAAAUUUUAUAGCGACCUGUGCCGCCUUACCCAAAAGGUUCCCGCAGAUAAGAUCAUUAAAUUUUAUACCGACUCCUAAAAGUACAGUCAUAUCAUGCUUCUGGCUGGCCAAAUGCAGAAAAUGACUGGCAACAGUGCAAAAAAUUCUGCAUGAAACUAUCAGGAUAGCUUGCUCACCUGGACUCUCUGAGAAUGUGCUUGCCAGUGCUUUUUUUACCAAUAUUAUCUCUCUUUACUAGUUUGUCAUCUUAGCUUUCUGACCCACCUAUUUUGCUCAAUUUUAAUGAAGAAUUUUAAAUUCAGGUGAAAGUGGUGCGUUCAUCCUAUGAGCUGGUACAACUGUGCAGCUGUUUUCUAUAUAGAUGUGUGAGUCUAGGCUGCCAGCUGAUUCUGAUACACAACUUUCUGACUAUAAGUAGCUGACUAGUCUCUGAAGUUCUUAGACACUUAUCUUAAUUUCUGCUUAAAACAUAACAAACAGCAGAACUAAAUUGAUUUAGAUUUCAUCCAAGGUAGAAGUUUACCUCCAAAGUUUGCAUAUUUAUUUUACGAGGUAAGUUAAACUCUAGGCUUCAGGAUGCAAUAAUCUCUAGUCUGUCAUUCCACCUAUUUUUCCAGGUGUGGAAUAUUGACCUCUGCCAUUAACAAAGAAGGUAGUGGUGGCUGUAGUAUGUCAGUGGUUUGGCUAAUCUAGUAGUGCCAGUUUAUUUUCUUAGGCAAGUACGGAUGUAGCGUGGUAUAGAUAUGAGGAAUGUACUUAACAGAAACAUGUUUCUAGUUGCUUCUGUUGCAACACUGUGAUGCUGACAUUAUCUUUCUUUUAUUCCCUGAACUAAAAUACCUUACCACUUUAAAUCUUUGUGUUUGGUUUAGAUGGUUUUUUUUCGGUUGUUUGUUGUUUUUUUUUUACAACUUUCUACUUUUGAGAUUCUAAUACGAAGUUCUUGUUUCCCCUUCAGCAAAUAAAGUUGUAUCCUCUAUAUAAUGUUUUAAGUGGGUAAUUUUUGCAAUAUCCUUAGAAACUUAUUUCGAGAUAUUGACUUUCCAGUUUUCCAGACUAAUGUCCUUAAUAAAAAAAAAUAAUUAGCAAUAGUAAUAAGAGAAUUCCUCAACAAUGUAUUUGAGAUUAAACUACAGGUAAAGUUGAUAUUUGUGCUGCAGUAGUCCUUUCAUAAGGCAUUUGGAUUUUCAGUGUGCCUAUAUAACAAAAUUUCAUUGUGUGUGUAUGUAAGCAAAAAUUCUUCCCAUAUAAAGCGAAUCCAGCACAGUCUUUUUUCCCCCUUAUUUUUGUUGCCUUUUUAAAUUUAUAAACUAGUGUAUUGACAUUACAAAAUACACUUGCAGUAUUGCAGAAUACUAGAACCUGAUAGUUAAAAAGCUCAAAGAACCUUAAACCUUUGCAGUGGCAGUCGGACAAACCCCUGUGCAAACAGAUAAGCCUGGGUCUGAGGGUCAACAAACUCUUGUUUUGUCAAAUUUGUUAAGUUAGCAAGUUGCAGAGAAGGUUUACCUUUUGUUAAAAACUCUAUUUUGCUUUUUGCUGCAUUCUCUUAAAUAUAAAUGAUGCCUAAAUUGAUAGCUGUGUGCAGCCCCAGGCUUAAAGUCCUUGUCAAAGGGUUUUGGUUGGAAGCUCUUUACUGGAGGGAAGAGUCUUUAUAUUUCCACUCAAACAGGCUUUAGGUUUCAGUCCUAGUCCUUAGCAGGUGUUAGUGGGUUUGAGAAACUAAUGCUGCGGUUAGCCAGGGAUAGGACCACCGCUGACAAGCACUGUGGCUAAAUAGGCAGGUACAAUCCCAACUCCAGAACAUUUAAAAUGAGAAAGGCUUCUCUUUUUAGUUUAUUGUGAGACUGGUGUAUCUAGUGGUGUCACGGUUCUCUUUUGAUUUAGGCAUUCAGUAUUCUUGCAGGUGUGUAACUGAUGAAUGUAAUGUUUGUGCUAGGGGAAGUGAGGGAAAUUGCUGGUAGACUCAAUCACUGCCCCAUUUUUUCUUCCCUCCUUCUAAACUGUAUGGAAAUGCUUUCCUUCAGCUGGAUACUGAAGUCAAGCAACCCUAACAAAUGCAGUGAGAGAGCACCUCAAUAAUAUCUGGUUGUGGAAGAUAACUCUGUUUAGUAUUCAAAGCUUCUGUGUCCGUUAUGUGCCAGCCACAGUGCCAUGGUAGGAGCUUGGGUGGCACCACCUUAUUUAUUUGGCAAAAUGAUAAGGGCUGCAGUGGGGGCUUAGUCAGUUUAUCUUCUUCAAACCCGACAAGCAAUUGUCAUCAGCAGAGUUGUGCAGGCUGGAGGAAGAAGAAAGGAAUGGAAGUCCUUAAACAGGGGUGGCUGUUGUAGCCUCAGCAUCAUGAAACUCUGUUUUACAGACAUGUAACAGAUGCAUACAGAUAUUAAACACACUGAAGCUUUUCACAAAAUUGUCUCUAAAUACACUGAGAUGGCAUUUCAUUAUAGUUGAUACACAAAUAAACCCCAGUGCAGAUAUUUUUGCUGACUCAAUUGAUUUAAAAAAAAAUCGUUGAAUGUAUCACUUCAUAAAUAAAUGUAUUUUCUUACAAGAUAUGGUAUUCUUGCUUCUCUAAAGACUAUUUAUUUUAACUCUACCCUUAAAGUACUUCUUAUUCUCAAACUGGAGAAACUAGAGUUGUAGAUGGCAUUCUUUUACAUACAUCUCUCCUGGUGAAAGAAGUUGGGGCACCCACCCAUUCCCAUGAGCUUCCUUGCUUCUUCCUGUCAGAUUCAGUGUCUGAAAUGAAUAUUUUCUUGAUCCAAGAGGAAGGGAUUUGAAGUCCUUCCUGCCACAUGUGAAUUUGAAGGCUUCCUACCCACAGCCUUAUUUAGCUACUGAAGCUGGGUUGUUUCAGAAAUAUCAACUUAAAGUGAAUGCCAUUUAGCUUUUGCAGAGGGAAAUAUGGCUUGACUACCAAGGGACAUUGCCUGCUGUAUGGGAAAAGCUAUGGUAUUGGUAUGAGGGCCAUGUGUUUGUAACUAAAUAAACAAAACUAGUAUCUUGGACUGAAAUUUAAUCUUGGAAGUUAGGAAAAGGUAGCAGAUGUUUCCUUGGAGAAUUCAUGCAAGGAUGGGUUUGAGUCUCUAUUUCACACAAAGUGGGUAAUGAAACCAUUUUUUUUAAUCAAGUAAAUAAUUGAAAGAAUCAAGAACAAACCUGGAAACUUAUAUAUCAGGAAUGCACAAUUCAGCACCUGGCUGUAAAAUGCCCCUCUUAUCUUCCCUUCAGCAUCCUCCAAAUCUUGUACUGCAGUUGUCUCAGAUGAGACAUGACCUGAUUGCAUCUCAUGUAACCUGGUUUGAGUUCAGCUCAGCUGAUGUGGAGGCCAGGAGCUGCAUCACCCUCUCUGGAGUAGAUGGUUAUGGUGUUCACAGAUCCCUACUCAUGGAAUGAACAAGCUCAGGUCAUAAACUGAUGUUACAUCAGCUGAAGGCAGUGGGGAUUAGGGGACAUGCUGGGAUGUGAAUUGUCUCUUCGCACUGCCCAACUGCUGAGCAGUGCUUCGCAACUGGAGUGGUUGUGAUCUGCCUGUGUCAGUGGAGGCAGCUGUUUCCCUCCCUCCCCACUCAGUUACAUUGUCAUGAGCAAGGGGAGGCUGGAGAAACAGAUUUUAUCAGAUUGAUUGAAUAAGAUAAAGAUUGUUUCUAAACUUCACGUUGUGUGUGUUUGUCAUGGUUUUAACCACAACAACACAGUGUUUUGUUUGUACAGGGAAUUGAGGAUGCAGCAAAUAUAGCCAUUUCUUACAUUGUUCAUUGCUCUGUAUCAGAAAAGCCCCCAAAUCCUUCAAUGCUUUUGUUUUGAGGUUUCCACUGUAUUGACCUUGCUAUAUACUGUGCACUUUUAUCACAAAGAUAUCUUUAUUAUAUUUAUCUUUAUUUUUAUUUAUCUUUGUGUAGAUGCUAAAAGCUUGAAAUAAAAAAAAAAGACUGUUGAGAAUAAUGACUUAACAAACUCACAUGUCCUUAGCUGCAGAUUUUGGUACUCAGCUUUUGGAGAUUUUUUGCCCAUUUUCAGAUUUAUUAGACCUUUGUUUCCAAAUCUCUGAUGGUUCCUUUUGGACUGCAUGUGGCUAAACCCAGAGCUAGCUCAAGGAAAGGUGUUUUCCUCUUGGCAAUAGUAGGCUGUGUGCCAGAGUAAGAAGAUAUUUCCUGUCUUCUGAUACUUACCACAGCAGUUCCCACCAUUAGGCAGUUGUUAAUGAAGAUUUUAGCAGAGGGUUUGUCUUAGAGCUUUUAAUGUGGAAGAGCCUAGAGUUGAGGGGAGACCAGGAGAAAAGGGAUCCCUGUAAACUUAAAACCAACUCUGGCAUUUUUAUUAUUUCUUUGUUGUUUUGGGCUUUGCUGGUACCCACUUUAUGUAAUAUCAUGUCAGUUGAAAUAUUUGUCCAGUAAGUUGGAAGCCUUGUGUUAAAAAGACUUUACUCUGCAAAAUGUGUUCCCAAAGGUAGGAGGUCAAACACACCCCACUGCUGAGCGCUUGCCAUUGGCUGGGUUUCAAUAAAUUGCAAGCUCAGCAUGUGGAGUUUUUUGAUCACUUUUGAGAUAUUGAUUCUUUUUGCACACUGUAUGAGGACUCUAGACCUUAAAUUUUGGCUUCUUCUCUGGGUAUUAAAAGGGCCUGAAGCACACAUCUACUUUAUUGGCACUUAAAUUGCUUAAGAAAGCUUACUUCUCGUAAACAUGGCUAGAAACUUAAUUUGUUGUAAUUAUUUAAAAAGGUAUGUAGAGCCCUUGUAAGUGCAUGAUUUGAACAGGAUCCUAGUUACAAAUAUACAUUAUUUACCAUCCUAGUCUGGCUCUGCAUACUUAUUCCCCUAAUUCCUCACAACUGUUUGCUUUUUGGUUAGAAGGUACAAAUUAAAAAUUCCUAUCACUGAGUUCUGAUGGGAAUAUACUGUAAAUGCAGCUCAGGAGCUCAGUCUGCCAUUACUCCUGAUCCUUAUUUUUGCUUAACGGAUGCUUCAACCAUUGAAAUAUGUUUGUAACCUAAGUAGAUUCUGAACCUUAUCCUUAAUUCAUGGUUAUUAGUUCAUCCAAGUUUCUGCUUACUAAAUUGAACUCUCAAAUCAGCCUUUGCAAGUUGAAGGCAGAUACUAACACUUAAACUUGGUUUUCAUCGUGUCCUGUCAUAUGUGUAUCUUUCCCAGCUAGAGCCUUGUGCUUGUGAAUUCCAAGAAACUCGCUCAAAGUUAAUUUCUUUUGUAGGCUAUUGAUUUCUGUAAAUUUCACUUUUAAACAGAAUUGUGUGGUGUCAGGGCUUUAAAUGUACAGGUUCUGUUGACUCUUCUUGAAUGAGACAUUUAUUUAAACUGUUACCAAAUAGCAGAAUUUGAUUAAAUUGCAUAAACCAAACAGAGCUUGUAAUCUUGAGGCAAGAGUUUGUUCUUAUGUCCUUCCUCUGUGUCCUCACUAUGUGAAAUUGUUUAAAUAACCUUCCAAACAGUUAUGAUAUAGAUGGGGGAAUUUAGUAGUAAUGUUAAUAAGAUAACUAACACAGUUUGACUCCUGUUAGCUUAGUGUUAUCUAAUAGAUAGAUGAGAUACAAUACUUCAGAUAUCUGAUUCCAUAGUUUACAGCCUUUUAUUGGUUGUCUGAAUAUGU